UACUUUUGUUCCCUGGGGUGAAAAGUGACUAAUGCAUAGGUGAGCAAAAGGUUCAAUUUUGAGGGCAGUUCCAUAGAUGGGAGAGAAAAUGAAACUAUUAGCAUGUGGUAAGGCAGACAAGGUAAGUGAGUGGAUUCAGGGAAUCUAAUUCUCUCAGACAUGUUUCCUUGAUUUUCAUGAAUCUAGUGACAUUCCCUGAUUACUCCAUUGGGCUGGAAACUACAAUCACUGGUGACUGGAGAGAAGCAACACCUGAAGAAGGCUUUGUUACCUGCUUCUGCAGCUUUGUCACCCUGGAACUUCCCUUAGUCCAUGGAGCCUCCUUAUCCUGACACACACAACUUCCCCUAUGGCCCGCCCUCUCAUCUGUAGAGAACUGCUCCACAAAUAGCUCCUGCGUCCUUGAACUGGGGUAAGAGAAAUUGGCUAGGAUUACAGGAGGAUCAAGCCCACGGGCUUACAGAACAGAUUCGCAGACAUCCUCUUGCUGGGCAGUGACAAAGUUUAUUGAUUUGGGGUGCACCAUAUAUAGGGAGAAUUACAUAGGCUAAAGGAUUAGGUAAGCCUUUUGCAGGAACUAUGAUUGGCAAUAAUUUACAAGAUGGAAACAAUGGAUGUAGAUUGCCUUGGUGGCUCUCAGCAGCAUUUUCUAUAGGAUAAUAAAUCUUAGGUAACAUG
rnacentral:lncRNA from 1 species